CCUACGGGUGACAGCAGUGAGGAAUAUUGGUCAAUGGACGAGAGUCUGAACCAGCCAAGUAGCGUGAAGGAUGACUGCCCUAUGGGUUGUAAACUUCUUUUAUAUGGGAAUAAAACGUUCCACGUGUGGGAUUUUGUAUGUACCAUAUGAAUAAGGAUCGGCUAACUCCGUGCCAGCAGCCGCGGUAAUACGGAGGAUCCGAGCGUUAUCCGGAUUUAUUGGGUUUAAAGGGAGCGUAGGUGGAUUGUUAAGUCAGUUGUGAAAGUUUGCGGCUCAACCGUAAAAUUGCAGUUGAAACUGGCAGUCUUGAGUACAGUAGAGGUGGGCGGAAUUCGUGGUGUAGCGGUGAAAUGCUUAGAUAUCACGAAGAACUCCGAUUGCGAAGGCAGUUCACUGGACUGCAACUGACACUGAGGCUCGAGAGUGUGGGUAUCAAACAGGAUUAGAUACCCGAGUAGU
rnacentral:rRNA from 1 species